rnacentral:rRNA from 1 species
GGGGCGAAGGAAGAAAUUCAAUCGCGUUUCGACGUAGGUAUGAGACGGGGUUGAGUGACGAAAAUGUGUUCGCAUAGUUUUGCACCCCCUGUUUUAUUUAACCGACGACGAACGCGUGCACUUUUCUCCUGGUAGGACGUCGCAAUCCGUUGGGUGUCGGUCUACGGUUCGCGGUGGAGCCCGUUCUGACAAUUCCAUUGAUGAGCGGACCCGUGUUAUUCCUGACCGACUCGCUCGACGGUAUACAAAUGGUAUAUGGCCGCUCGAUUUGGAGCUUCCGACUCGUGGCAAGCGCGCCAGAUGCGUCGGCGGUCGGACCUAGUGCCGAUCCUGACCUCUGGUGACUGUUGGCCACGAUGUUCUCGGAAAGAGCCGUUUACCGAUUUGCGACGCUAUAGCUUUGGGUACUUUCAGGACCCGUCUUGAAACACGGACCAAGGAGUCUAGCAUGUACGCAAGUCAUUGGGAAUCACUAAACCUAAAGGCGCAAUGAAAGUAAAGGUCUUCCUUGCGAGGACCUAGGGAAGAUGUGCGGUAACCGUUAAUGGUUUCCGCGCCGCAUUCCCGGGGCGUCUCAUUCUCAUUGCGAGAAGAGGCGCACCAAGAGCGUACACGCUGGGACCCGAAA